UGCAAGUCGAGCGGGGAAAAGUAGCUUGCUACUUAACUUAGCGGCGGACGGGUGAGUAAUACUUAGGAAUCUGCCUAUUAGUGGGGGACAACAUUUCGAAAGGAAUGCUAAUACCGCAUACGUCCUACGGGAGAAAGCAGGGGAUCACUUGUGACCUUGCGCUAAUAGAUGAGCCUAAGUCGGAUUAGCUAGUUGGUGGGGUAAAGGCCUACCAAGGCGACGAUCUGUAGCGGGUCUGAGAGGAUGAUCCGCCACACUGGGACUGAGACACGGCCCAGACUCCUACGGGAGGCAGCAGUGGGGAAUAUUGGACAAUGGGGGGAACCCUGAUCCAGCCAUGCCGCGUGUGUGAAGAAGGCCUUUUGGUUGUAAAGCACUUUAAGCGAGGAGGAGGCUACUCUAGUUAAUACCUAGGGAUAGUGGACGUUACUCGCAGAAUAAGCACCGGCUAACUCUGUGCCAGCAGCCGCGGUAAUACAGAGGGUGCGAGCGUUAAUCGGAUUUACUGGGCGUAAAGCGUGCGUAGGUGGCCAAUUAAGUCAAAUGUGAAAUCCCCGAGCUUAACUUGGGAAUUGCAUUCGAUACUGGUUGGCUAGAGUAUGGGAGAGGAUGGUAGAAUUCCAGGUGUAGCGGUGAAAUGCGUAGAGAUCUGGAGGAAUACCGAUGGCGAAGGCAGCCAUCUGGCCUAAUACUGACACUGAGGUACGAAAGCAUGGGGAGCAAACAGGAUUAGAUACCCUGGUAGUCCAUGCCGUAAACGAUGUCUACUAGCCGUUGGGGUCUUUGAG
rnacentral:rRNA from 2 species